CGGAACAGUCACAUGGCGUUCACGUGUGCGCGCAUUCGAUUGACCAUGCGAAGAGUGCAUGUUCAACACCUUGAGUUUGAUGUCGAAUGAGUCACAAUAUAUUUCAGUCUGAUGCUACAAUGGAAAUGGAAAUUCUGAAUCAAGGAUCAAGUGGCAAGACAUAGACUAUCUACUGUAAUAAUACUGUAAUAUCUGAUUAGCUAUGAAUAUCGUCACUUCAACCAUUACAGACUAUUGUAGCGGUGAUACGGAAUUUGUGGUAUGACAGUCACUUUGUAUCAUUUUAUAGAUUUACAAGUAGCGCACUUGGGUUAAAUUAGAAACUGGUGUAAAUUCAUAAUACUUCCUGACAAGUCAAUCGUUUCUCCAGAGGUUCAUUGCUGAAGAAGUGAGAGUGAAAAUACAGCUUUUAGUUGUAAGAAAUAUUGAUAUGACCUUAACUUACUUAGUUAGGCUAGCAGUAAGUAACACUAUAUAGCAGUCAUAUGAAUGAGCAUAUGCCAAUCAGUAUUCAGUUUUCCUUUACAUUCUUCUAGGAGGGACAGCUCGUUGUGCUAUACCUGCUGGUGUGUUCAGUUCAAGGCUGAAAGGCACCAGCAAAAUCAGCUUGUGAUUCUGAUGGCAUCUGCCGAGCUGCUACAGAGCGAAGGGAGAAACUAUCUGAGAAACACACCAGCAUGAGAGAGAAUACAAAAUGUUGAUUUUAAUAUGUGCAACAAAUGCCUUCCAUGCAACUCUGAUUCAAGGAAAUGUCAAACAAUGACUUUGCUGAAGUUGAAUGUUGCUGCUCUUGAUCGUCUACGCAAAAUGAUAGUUACAAGUUUAUAUUAUUAUUGCAGUGACUGAACUUGUACUACUCAACUGCAUGCAAAAACCAUUUCCAUGGAACAUGACAUGCUGUCUGUCUGUCUGUCUGUCUGUUAGUUUUGUCUGUUUGCCUACCAGUGAUCUGCCUGUAGAUCAAACAAAAUCUUUCUUGUGUUUCUUUACUUUCAACUUGGAA